AGAGAGAGUUAAAAUACACGCGUUUCAAAUCCUGCAUGGGAGUUGGCGUAGUUGAUUUCUUUUAAUGAAGCAGCUGGCAAAUACAUACGAAGAAAGAAACUGAAAUUUCAUACAAAACCUGAGGAGCCUUCGUAAUACUGGUCGUGUGAGCAACUGUCAAUAUCGUUCCCGAUGUCUUGACUUGGUAAUUUCGGCGUCCAGUUUCAAUCUAAAAAUUACCCUUGAGAUUCUUGUCUCACAGUGAGGGUAAGACUAAUUACCGUGUAACUAAUGUGCAACUUAAGAAUGAUUUACAUUGAAAAUUGUGUCGAGGAGUAAAAUAUAUUUUCAGAAUUGCU